CCUACGGGUGGCUGCAGUGGGGAAUAUUGCGCAAUGGGCGAAAGCCUGACGCAGCGACGCCGCGUGAGGGCUGAAGGUCUUCGGAUCGUAAACCUCUGUCAGCAGGGAAGAACGGUCACUGUGCUAAUCAGCAGUGAAUUGCCGGUACCUGCAAAGGAAGCACCGGCUAACUCCGUGCCCGCAGCCGCGGUAAUACGGAGGUUGCGAGCGUUAAUCGGAAUUACUGGGCGGAAAGCGCGCGUUUGAGGUAUGUCAAGUCAAUGGUGAAAUCCCCGCGCUCAACGUGGGAACUGCAUUUGAAACUGGCAAAGUGGAGUGUGGGAGAGGAUAGUGGAAUUCCAGGUGUAGGAGUGAAAUCCGUAGAUAUCGGGAGGAACAUCAGUGGCGAAGGCGACUAUCUGGCACAUAACUGACGCUGAGGAGCGAAAGCGUGGGUAGCAAACAGGAUUAGAUACCCGAGUAGUC
rnacentral:rRNA from 1 species